rnacentral:lncRNA from 1 species
AGAGUGACCGACUUCUUAUUAAAGGAGGGAGGAUAAUAAAUGAUGACCAGUCUUUCUAUGCAGAUGUUUACCUCGAAGAUGGCCUUAUUAAGUAAGUAAUCAAGUGAUUUUCUGGAAGUAGGGUUAAUUAUGGGCAAAUAACAUCCUUAUGUGAUAAAGGAAACUGUAUAAUUAUUGUAUGUAUUACAUUAUUUAAUAUGUGAUAUGUAACAGUGUGUUCAUUAAACUAUAGUCUUUGUGGGUGUAGUAAUUAUUUAUCAACCUACUUGCAAUGCUAGCCUGUCACAUUGCAUUCUCAGCUAAGUGUCACAAGUCAUUAAACACAUCACAUGGAAUGCCUCAUCGGACUUAAACUAGUUACGGAAUGCCCUUUGACUUGUGUUUUUUUGGCCACUUGAUGGUUAAGGAGUUGGGGACAUGCAGUCAUGGGGGAAGGUUAAGAUGGGACCAGGGGACUGGGCAUUUAUUUAUAACGUGAUGGAUAGUGAUGUACCGAACGGUUCGCCGGCGAACGGUUCCUGGCGAACAUAGCAUGUUCGCGUUCGCCACGGCGGGCGAACAUAUGCGCGGUUCGACCCGCCCCCUAUUCGUCAUCAUUGAGUAAACUUUGACCCUGUACCUCACAGUCAGCAGACACAUUUCAGCCAAUUAGCAGCACAGCCUCCCUAGCAGACCCUCCCACCUACUGGACAGCAUCCAUUUUAGAUUCAUUCUCAAGCUGCAUGCUUAGUAAGAGGAGGGAAAGUGUAGCUGCUGUUCAUAAGAUAGGGAAAAGCAUAGCUAGGUUAGGGAUAAGGGUAUGCUUUUUUUUUAAUUUAUUUUUUCUAUGUAAUGUAAUUGCACUUAGUUGUCUGCCACUGCUGCCAGCUUCUGUGUCANNNNNNNNNNNNNNNNNNNNNNNNNNNNNNNNNNNNNNNNNNNNNNNNNNNNNNNNNNNNNNNNNNNNNNNNNNNNNNNNNNNNNNNNNNNNNNNNNNNNCACUAAUUAGAUCUGGUGUCACAAUAGCUUGGAUUUAAAAACAAAAUUUUUUUUUCACUGUUAUAGAUUGAAUAGCAGUUAGUGAUCUUCAAGCAGGUGUGUCAGCCCUACAGCGCGUACUCUGCCANNNNNNNNNNNNNNNNNNNNNNNNNNNNNNNNNNNNNNNNNNNNNNNNNNNNNNNNNNNNNNNNNNNNNNNNNNNNNNNNNNNNNNNNNNNNNNNNNNNNGACCUUGCUUCGGGUCAGGUGUACGGUUCCUAAAGUAAGCACCUACAUACCGUCCACUGAUAGGGAGGCUUGCGGAAGGUGUCAGCAGUCAGAAAAUACUAAACACACCACUCCUAUCUGGUGGCACAUUAGCUUGACCGCGCAGUGCCCCAAAUUUGAAUUAAGAGGACCGACCAAGCAUCUUCUUCCAUCUCCCUGUUACAGAAAUCACUGCCAUAUCCAUACAAAUUGUACAGAAUGUCAGGAUAGUUUUCCAGGGACAAAUGUUGUCGCCUGUUGAACGAGGUGACCUUGCCUGGGUCCCAGGUGUACGGUUCCUAAAAUGGCUGCCAUAUACACGUCCACUGAUAGGAGACGCGGAAGGUAUUAAACUGAUCAGAACAAUACUAAACACACCACAAAUAAGGUUUCUCUCCUGUAUGGCUCCUCAAAUGAUGCUUAAGAUUAGAAGCGGCUGAAAAGCAUUUCUCACACUCCGAACAAAAAUAUAUUUUUUAACAUUCUCUCCACUUUGAACGAAAUGACGUUUGGGAAGAGAUUAACAUAAUUAAACACAGGCAGUAAAAAUACAGUUUUUAGCCAUACACUGUAACUUUAAAACUACACAUCCCAUCUUCAUAAUUACAUAUUUGGAAUCAGCACACUUAAAACAUAAACAUAACCAAAAAUCAGCCAAAUCCAUCCAGGGGUUAAAAAGUUAGCUGGAGGUCCCUUUAUGACCGACCGCAAGCACAUUUUCCUGCCCAAAACAGUUCCAUAGAUUUGGGCUGUGAGGUCGGUCUAUUUCAGGCUGAAAAAACGACUAAGUCCCAUCGCGAAUGGGACUUAGUCUCUGCAGCUGAAAUAAUUUCCCAUUUACUGAACCAAGUGGGAAAUAGCAAGGCAGGCACAAAGGGUUUGCACCAGGUCUGGGGACACAGGGGACACCGUCUUAAAGGGGCCGUGUCCCCAACAAGUCUGGGGACACGGCCUUAAAGGGGCAGUGUCCCAAUCUUCCUGAUGUCCCAAAAAAGGUGUUUAAAGGGCCAGCACCAGUCACAUAAAGAGUCCAUAAGCCCCAAUAUGCCCACCGACAGUCUUAAAGGGCCAUACACACCAAAUAAAAGUGCAUACAUUUUCACAAUCUCCCAGGGGCCAUAGUCAUGCGGGAGGAGGCUGGCAAAUAGGCUUCUCCACAACCCAGGGAAGCAGGGCAAUUUGCCAUUUAAAGGGCCCGUUACAAAUAGCAGUUUGUAACAAGGUGUCAAUCCAUAUCUGCCAAGUGACCCGAUGUAGGGGGACCAGUCCCUAUUCUGCUCUGUGUCAGUGUGUACCAGGGAACCUUAGGACAGGUGUCAAUCCAUAUCUGCCAAGUGACCCGAUGUAGGGGGAACAGUCCCUAUUCUGCUCUGUGUCAGUGUGUAUCAGGGAUCCUUAGGACAGGUGUCAAUCUAUAUCUGCCAAGUGACCCUAUGUAGGGGGACCAGUCUCUAUUCUGCUCUGUGUCCGUGUGCAUCAGGGGCUCUGAGGACAGGUGUCAAUCCAUAUGUCAAGGUGUCAAUAUGUCAUAUGUCAGGUGUCAAUCCAUAUUCAUUGUGAUUUAGGAAUGUUAGGUGAUUUCUGCCCUUUAUGGAUUAAAACCAGACUCUGUAUCAACUGUGUAAUUUUCCAUGGGAGUUUUGCCAUGGAUCCCCCUCCGGCAUGCCACAGUCCAGGUGUUAGUCCCCUUGAGAUACAUUAUUAAUGGAUAAACCCAUUUCUGAUACCGUGGGUAACCGAUUUAGGUCUGCCUUUCUGACCCAAUACAAUGUUGACCAUAGAAAGAUUAAAAAAGGACUACAGAACCAUUGGUCAAUAUUAUUGCAAGACCCAGUGUUGGGAAUACACCUACCUGAAUAUCCUCAAGUAAUUUUUAAGAAAAACCAAAAUUUUAAAAACAUGUUGGCCCCUAGUUAUGCUAUUAAAACCUCUUCCACUAACACGAAUAUAGGCUUUUGUAGGGGAUGUAAUGUGUGUAAAGCCUGUAAGACCGUGACUAUUGAGAGAUCUAAUACCUUCUCUAGUUUUAAUACUGGGAGGGUAUACCACAUCAAAUCAGAUAUAGGUUGCCACACGGAUUUUGUGGUUUAUUUACUGCAAUGUCCGUGUGGCAAACAGUACGUGGGUCGUACUACAAGAAUCCUUAAAGUUCGUAUACUUGAACAUCUGAACAAUAUUAGAAAGGGGUUAAUUACCCAUUCAGUCUCCGCUCAUUGCAGUACAUGCCCCUCUUUUUCAUGGAAAGAGUUCAGAUGCAUAGGUAUCGAAAGAGUUGUCUCUCAUUGGCGUGGUGGUGAUAGGAUAAAAAAUCUAUCCCAGAGAGAAACCUUUUGGAUUCACCAACUAAAAACACUAGAACCAAUGGGAUUAAAUGUAGACAUCGAUUUGGCCUGCUUUACAUAAAUCAUAUUGGGUUUCUGGUCUGUUUCUACAUCUCCAUGUUGUAAUAUAUUGACAUUUUUGUCCUCUUUUUCUCCUUUUUUUUUUUUCUCUUCUUUAUAUUCCCCUUCUAUCUUUUGGGAAUUAUACAGAGAUAUAGAGUUGUAUCAAAUAAGUUUUUAUGCCAUAAUCCCUUAUGUAUAUUUUUUUCAAUGAAAAAAAAUAAAAAAAAUAAAAAAAAAAAUAAAAAAAGGGAAAAAAAAAUCAGUAUAUCACUUUAAUAUUUUAUAUUAUUCACUUUCACUAAUUUAGGAUUAUAUUUGCACUUCCUUGUAAUUAGAUCUAUAUCAAAUAUGUAUUGAAGAUCUUAAUAGGAUAAACUCAUGCUUUAUAUUUCUCCAUGUUGCUGCCGAUAUUAUUUUGUUUUGUCUUAUUAGAUAUAUGACUGUUUCCAAUAUCUAUUAUCUGGGACUAUUCCCCUGGCGACCACUAGAUGGCUAUGUUAUAAAUAUUUUACAUCUCGAUCUUCCCUGUUGAAACGCACGAUUGAAUGGAACGCGGAAGUAUGUGUCUACUUCCGGUUCCGGUUUUCGGCUGAUAUGGAACGCGGGAUUUUUUGACUGCAAUCAAAACAUGAAGAAUUCAGCUGGAUGUGAUUAAUCAUUUCACCAAUGAAGGAUGAAACAGAGAAGGACGCCCAGAUUACCAUCAAUUAACUCAGGGGUUAGCCCUAUAAAACAGGACUGGUGGGUGGGUGGGAUUAGGCUGCAUUUUAUGUUUUAUUAUUGUUGUAUAACAUUUGAUUUUAACUUUUGGUCCCUGAGGAAGUUCCACAUUGUGAACGAAACGCGUAGGACCUCAUUUUAAGCUUAUAUUAUAUAUCCAUUGUUGGGUGAUGUUUCAUCCUUAAUAAAGCCGCUUCAUUUAUUUUUCUCACAACCCUGGGAGUCCUGUUUUUUCAUCUAUUUUCCUGGAGCAACUGAAGGAGGAUAAUAGCCCCCCAAUACUAUCGGGGGAGGCACCAUAGAGCGAUAUAUUUCAUCUAAUCUUAUUCCUCAGCCGUAUCCCAAAUAUUUCUGGCAGGUGUUAGUCCCCUUGAAACAACUUUUCCAUCCCUAUUGUGGCCAGAAAGAGUCCCUGUGUGUUUUAAAAUUCGCCUCCCCAUUGAAGUCAAUGGCGUUUCGGGCGGUUCGCCGGUUCGCGAACAUUUGCGGAAGUUCGCGUUCGCGAACCGAAAAUUUCGGGUUCGCGACAUCACUAGUGAUGGAUAGGGAUUUCAUUAAAAAGGCAAGAGGGGUUGGGCAUUCUCUGGUCCUGUUGAGAUUUGGACCAUAUUAAUUAGCAUUCCAGGUUCUAGUGAUUAUUGGGUUAAGGGUCUCCCCUCAAUCAUUUGUAUUACCGUCCAAACCCACAGGUCUGUAGGUGAUGACAAGGGUAGGGAUUUUUCCACAGUAUUAAAUAAGCUCACUGCUAGCUAAAUUUUAAACAGUAACAAUGCUUGAUGUGAAUAGUUGAUUUACCUUACUGUUCCUAUAAUGAGGUCUAACCGUUUACUUCAAGCACCAUCUGCAGGAUCCGUACUCUGUAGUUAUUUUUGAUGACUACACAGCCCACCAGACUUAGAGGAGCACAGCGUAGGAUCCAUUUGUUGGAUCUAACCAAUCUUUCCUACCUGGCAGUUUCCACUCGUGCACAUGUGUUGAAAAAAAAAAAAACCACACACUUAUCCCUGAACUCUCCCCACUUGUUAAUCUUGAGAAUCCAAACAGGUCCCACAACACUUAUUUUAAAUUCUCCCAGUACACAUUAUGUGGUGGCUAGACAGCCAGGGUUAAUGUGGGGGACUAUUUUAGGGUUAUUUAUUUAGCAGUGUUUUGCGGUCUGCAGAUAUAGUUUGCCACUUUCACAGUUUUUCCAGCACUGGAAGUGAUCAGUAAUACUUUGAAACACUAGUACAGGGGUAGGCAACCUAUGGCACGUGUGCAAUGCACGGCACUCAAGGUGUCUGUGCAUGGCACUCAAGGCUGCUAGAGCCAAACAGGCUCUGGCCUAUCACGAGUUCCAGUGAAACUUCAGUUAUCUGCUAAUACGAAAAGGUGGUGAGGGACAAUCCUCAAUGUAUUGAUUGCAGCACAUAAAGGAAGUGAUCUCAGAUCACUUCCUCCCAGCACUUGUGAAUGGGAAUCUGCACUGGAGUAGAGCAUUGUGCAGAUCCUGUCCUUUAGCUAUAUCCGGCCAGCCUGGUCUCCACUGGAACCCAGGGAAGCCACACAUACUGCUAGAUAUACACAGAGCUGCAGAAUAACUCUCCCCUGAUCCAAAUAAUACGUACAGCCCACACACAAACAUACACACAAUCCGCAUGAACUGAACACUACUGACAAUCCACAAACAGACACACACAACCCUACAUACAGCCUCUCACAUGCAAUACCCCAAACAGCCCCACACAUACACACAAUGUGACAUAUCCAUCCACACACAAUUCCACAAGCAGCCCCCAUACACAGUCACACGAUACCACAAACUACUAAUGAACAUAUACAAUAUAAAUAGCUCAUAUAUGCACAAAUACAAUGAUACAAAGCAACUGCAGUAUAAAAAACACAAGCAGAAUACGGCAACACGUACACCUCAAUUUAAAAAAAUAGGACCGGCACGCUACGGGACAUUACAAUCUUAUUUCGGCACAGAGCUGCUAAAAGGUUGCCUACCCCUGCACUAGUAUAUAAUAUGGAGUUUUAUUUCGGACUUAGUAGCAAUUUAUAGCUGAUGUUGCUUCCUUCUCUAGUUAGUAAAUUGAUCUCAUUGUGUCGUACUGUACAGUUUAUGAGCUGUUUGUAUUGGCUGCCUGUAUCUUUAUACAAUGUUUUAACUUGCUUACUGCACAAUGAGCUAUAACCCAAGUGACCAGUGGGACUGAAAAAUAUCUGUUAAAAUGUUUCUACUUUUGUUUUCCUGAACUCACUAUAAAUUAUUUUAUAUCUGCUAAUCUUCUAGACAAAUCGGAGAGAAUUUGAUUGUCCCGGGUGGCGUAAAAACGAUUGAAGCAAAUGGACGCAUGGUUAUUCCGGGAGGGAUUGAUGUAAAUACAUAUCUUCAGAAGCCCUUCUUGGGCAUGACAACUAUAGAUGACUUUUACCAGGGCACAAAAGCAGCCAUAGCAGGAGGCACCACUAUGAUCA